CACCCAGGAGCAGGCCGGGGAAGCUGGGGACAGGCCUCCUCAUGGGCCCUGCUGUGGCCACUGGGAGCUGGGUCGGUGCUGGGCUCUGCAUACUGUCUCCUGGUGACCCCGUCAUGGAGCUCAGGCUGGACCUGAGGGUCAGAGAGAGGAAGCGGUGCUCCCCAAGGUUACACAGUGCCGGUGACCAAAGCACAGGCUAAAGGAAGAGAUGAAGGUCAUCUAUGUAACCAGCAGCAGAGCAUGGUCACAGCCGGGAUGGACAUCAGUGUUGGCCACCAGGGAGGCAGAGCAGUGUGCUCUGGCCAAGUCUGGCCCUGGGUCCAGCAAGAAGCCACUGCAAAUCUGGAACAGCUCUGCCGAGAUCUCCAUGGCAGCUGGACAGCCACUCCCGGCCUCUUUAGCUGGUCACUGGCCACUAGACACUCAUCCCAUAAUGAUUUCUUGAGCACCUACUACGUGCCAGGCAUGAAGACACCAACAGGUCCAAACCCCUGCCCUCGUGGCAAUGAUGUUCUCAGAGCACAGCCUUCUCUGACUGGGACCAGCUCUGCUCACUCACCCAAAUCCCAGGCCCAGAUCUCAGACCCUGGACCAGACCCCGGACCAGACCCCAGGCCCAGACCCAGACCCAGCCUAGACUCCAAGCCCAGACUCCAGGCUCAGCCCCCAGCCCUAAGCCCCCAGCCCCCAGCCCUCAGGCUCAAACCCAAGACCCAGACCCAGCACAAAUCCCAGACCCAGGUCCAGACCCAGGCCCCAGACCACAGGAACGGACCCCAGACCCUGAUCCAGGCCCAGACCCCAGGCCCCAGAACCAGAUCCCAGACCCCAGUCCCAGAUCCAGACCCUGGGCCCAGACCCUGGCCAGACCCUGGACCCUGGCCCAGACGGAGGCCCAGACCCGGACCCUGGGCCUAGACCCAGGCCCAGCAGAGCCAGCCGCCCUUUCUGGCUUGAUUCCUUUGUAAGUCUCUAAUUACAUCCUGGGAGAAGCAAUUAGAAUGAAACGGAGGGUUUUUCUCUCUCUCCCGCAGGCCAGGCCUGUUUAAUAACUUAAUUGAAUACACAGAAUUAUAAUUACAA